AGUAAGCGGAAAACGAAGAUUAUUCAUCAGAAGUUUUUUUGAAGUUAUUUCUGCCAGACAACUUAAAACACCGUCGAUUCAUCGGAUCGCACGAAAAAACUGUUUGAAGCCACUAAAUUUUUGUCUACAAAAUUUAAAGGAACAGUUAAAACUAAGACCUCGGGUAUUGUUUUUGUUUGGUUUUUGCAUUCACGAUGAAGUCAAAAAACUUAAGCUUUUUGCAAUACAUCUUCGUUGGCUCGUUUAUUUUGUUCAAGUUUUGUGAUUGUCUACAUAAAUCAGAAGAAUAUGGUCCGACAAAUGGAGUUGAGGGAGAGCAACGUUUGAUGAAGAAAUUGAAGAGUAGCAUACCUACCAUGUGGCCGCCUGUGGAUAUGGUCAACAGAACGGUAUUCAUCUAUGUUGAUCUAUUCAAGAUACAAGAAGUGGACGAAAAGAAUGGCAUGUGGGUCGGCAAAUUCUUCAUCUAUGUCUACUACUAUUCGCCCAGUGCCCAAUGGAACAAGAGUGAAUACAACAAUGGCACCGUCGAGUCAUUCCUCCUUCCCAAAGGCACACUUUGGAUGCCCGAUAUUAUUGUACAUGAGGCAUCGGAAAGAAAGUAUGACGCGUUUAACAGACAGGUGGUGUUUGAACAUGGAAUGAUUUUGGCAAUGACGACUCUAACAACUUGUCAAAUGAGUUGCCUCUUCGAUGUGUCCCAGUUUCCCUUCGAUUCGCAGCAAUGUGUAGUAACUUUGACAACUCAUGUGUCGCGACCAUCCGACUACCAGCUAGGUGCACCCUUAGUCAUACGUUUUUGUUAUUUCAUUCAUCACAUUAGGCAGAAAAAACGCCAGCGCUUUGGAAAACUAUACGAAAAACUUUCAACUGUGUUUUGUGUGCUCGGAUUUUUCUGUGCUCUUUGCUCCACAUCUGGCUACUCUUGCUGUAUUAUUGAGCGAUAACAAUGGGAUGUUUUUGAUUCGGUU